UGAGCCAAAGGUUAUAAACUUGCCUUAAAACU
rnacentral:piRNA from 1 species